rnacentral:tRNA from 1 species
GGACUGUGGCUCAGUGGUAGAGCGCUUGCCUAGCACAAGCAGGACCCCGGGUUUGAUCCUCAGCACCA